rnacentral:sRNA from 1 species
CGCACCCCCAUGUUCCCCCGCGAAGGCGGGGGCCCAGACUGGACCCCCGCCUUCGCGGGGGAACAUGCGUCCUGG